rnacentral:piRNA from 2 species
UGCAGAUUUCAGAAGCUGUGUUUGAGUUG